rnacentral:lncRNA from 1 species
CCUAUUGUCCUAGUAUAUUCACCAGUAUUAUCUGAUCACUGUUAAUAAUACAGGUGCAACUCAAUAAAAUUAAAAAUUAGUGACCUAAAGUCAAAUUAUAUAGAUACGUGUUAAUCUACUGAUAUAACUCAAUAAAAUUAGUGGCCUAAAGUCAAAUUAUAUAGAUACAUGAAAAUAGUUACCAGAUCUUCUCAAAAUAUUUUUGUUCUGAAAUUAACAGAGAUCAACAGUUUCUUACCUUGUCAUCCACAAAUUUUGCCCAAAAACGUGCCAUGGCUUUCUCAUAAGGAUCCUGAGGUAGCAAAGGAGCUGUUUCGUUCCAUGUCUCAUCGAUAUACUCGAGAAUCACGAGUGAUUCACAGAUUGGUUUGCCUUUGUGUACAAGUACAGGAAUCUUUUUGUGAACAGGAUUAUACUGGAGGAGUUCAGAGCUCUUCUGGGUUAAAUCUUCAAAUAUGGCUUCGUAUUCAAUCCCUUUGAUAUGCAGCGCCCAAACGAUCCUCAAACCAAAUGGACUUGACCAUGUCCUGUAAAGCUUCACUUCAUCUGCCAUGUUUGUUUUAAUUUGCAAUUGAUAUCUGCAAGCUAAUGUUUAUUUAUACACUCACAAUUUUAUUUAUAUUUUAAGCUAAAGAUGAUUUGGACUAAUUACCUUAUCACAACAGUAUGUGUGGAUAUGACAAGUCCAAUGACUUGUUUCACUUCGUCUUUUCUAUUGUAUUCCAAAACUUUGUGCUUUAGUGUAAGAAUUUUAGGAAGAAAUGUGUAGGGAAUUUUGAUUGAUUUUUGUGAGAUGAAUUUACAAAUGGAUGUUCAUCUAUUUAUAUUACUAAUUUAGGGAUAAAAGUGUAAAUAAUUAUUAUUAUUUAAAUUCCUAUAUAUUUACAAAAUAGUCAUAUUACUAGAAUUCUCUACGUGUCUAGAAUUUUCUAAGGACUUUUCAGGUAAAAAAUCUAUGAUAUUCUAGUUUCUACAUGAGAUUCUCACAUUUCUCUAGAACUUUCUACUAUGGACUAGUCUUCUUCCAAUAUAAUCUCUCGCAACUUUGUGUCAUGUGAAACUUACGUGGUGCUUAUGUGGCAUGAUGACGUGACAAGUCGUCAUAUUUAUUCCUAAAAAAUUCUCAAGCAUAUUAAUAAUUAGGGAUAAUUGCACUUUUGACCCUUCAAUUAAUCGCAAAAUUUUAUUUUGGUCCUUAUAUUAUAUGUUAUAUGAUUUAAUAUAUUUAACUUCUUAAAAAAAUAUAAAAUGUACGUUUUAGCCCUUUUAUAAAGAAAAAUAUUAUAUUUGGAUUCAUUUUAGAAGUACAUCAUAAGCUUUAACAUAACUUCUUACGAAUUAAAUGAUGGAAUAAUUAACAAUUUUGUGAAUAUUAACAAGAGAAAGCUAAGUGGUUAUCUGCAGAAUGGAAGAUUGCAAGAUGCUCUGCACCUGUUUCAUAUGAUGCCAUGGAGGAAUGCAGUAUCAUGGAAUUCGAAAAAGGUGUAGCAAAGUUGCCUAUGGGUAUGGAGAGUUGUUACUUUAGCAAUCAUGUAUGUCGUCUGGUAUUUUUCAUGAUACAUAGUCCAGAAAGCAUAUCCAAAAGUACUUGAUCAUACAAACAUCAGUUUAUUGUUAUUUCCAUAACCUAUAAGACACAUACUGCAACAAUUUUCACCAUUUAAUUUGAUGUCGUCUGGUAUUUUUCAUGGAGCAGUUGGUAUUUGGUUACUAGUCUGUCUCGUGGUGGCAAGUGUUGUUUGAUUGCCGGAGCAUCACAAAAGUUUUUCAUCCAUCCUGACAAGAGAGGAAAUUUGUGUGCAUCAAACAACUUCAGAUCGAUUACCUCCUCAAACACAUCAAGAAGAAACGCCAUCCAACCAAGUACAAGAUCCACAUAUCCUAUACUUUCUCCACCAAAAAAUUUCUUCCCUUUCAAUUGCUCUUCAAUGAGUUCUAGAUUUUGCACUGCUGGAACAAGAGCUUCCUUUUUCGCCUCAUAUCCUUUUUCUGUGAAAACACUCGUUACUGAUGGCAGAAGCUGCAGAUCAUGAAAGACAAAUAUCAACGAAAAUAUUGAUCAAUUCAGUAACUGAAAAUGCCUAUUGUCCGACUGAUCACUUUGCUCAAAUGUUAAUAUACAGGUGCAACUCAAUAAAAUUAGUGGUCUAAAGUCAAAUUAUAUAGAUACAUAUGUUAAUGUACUCAAUAAAAUUAGUGGUCUAAAGCCAAAUUAUAUAGAUACAUGAAAAUAGUUACUUGUUCUGAAAUUAACAGAGAUCAAUGGUAUCGAUCUUACCUUGUCAUCCACAAAUUUUGCCCAAAAACGUGCCAUGGCUUUCUCAUAAGGAUCCUGAGGUAGCAAAGGAGUUGUUUCCUUCUUCCAUGUCUCAUCGAUAUACUCAAGAAUUACGAGUGAUUCACAGAUUGGUUUGCCUUGGUGUACAAGUACAGGAACUUUUUUAUGAACAGGAUUAUACUGGAGGAGUUGAGGGCUCUUAUG